CGCGCAGGCUGUGCUGCAAGUCAGCUGUGAAAUAUCUGGGCUUAACCUGGAUAUGCGGUUGAGACUGCAGUGCUGGAGUGCUGUAGAGGCAAGUGGAAUUCCCAGUGUAGCGGUGAAAUGCGUAGAUAUUGGGAAGAACACCGGUGGCGAAGGCGACUUGCUGGGCAGCAACUGACGCUGAGGCGCGAAAGCCAGGGGAGCAAACG
rnacentral:rRNA from 2 species